CGCUGGAGAAGCGGCGGUCGGGGACGGGGCCUCGGCGAGCAGGAGCGCGAGGCGGCCUCGGCCUGGAGAGGGCGCUGCCACGCCACCAGAGUCAACAUCAAAAUCAGAAGUAUCACUUCUAUCAGAUGGAGUAUCUUCCUCAGUCCACAGGCACUGGGAAAAGGGGCUAAGGUCGAGCAACUGUGACCUUUCCCCACUGGCCACCAGAAGACAGGAUUUCAUUUGGUCAGGAUCCUCUUCUAAGCUGAUGAUCUCUUCUGGAAGAGAUGACACCAAAGGGGAUUCUUCUGAGUCAUCGUCAUCAGGAGCUCUCAUAAACACAGAGUUUAAAUUCACAUUAAAGCCAUGAGAUGACCAGUUUGCACUGCCAUGUGCCCUCCACUGAGAUGUGCUGCCUCUCCAGAGCGACUGGACCAAUCGACCAUGGACCAAAACUUCCAAAACUUGAGCCAAAAUAAAAAAAAACCUUUCCUCUUUA